rnacentral:miRNA from 1 species
AUAUGCAUCAUUUGGGUAUCUUGUUAAAAUGCAGAUUCUGAGCUAGUAGGUCUGGGUAGAACCUGAGUUUCUGCGUUUCUAACAAAUUCCCAAAUGGCUUUGAU